UCUCUCUCUCUCUCUCUCUCUCUCCCUCCCUCCCUCUCUCUCUCUCUCUCUCUCUAAAGAAAGGGGACAUAGAAGAAAAGGAAUAAGCACCAUAUCCAGAUUAAGUUCAAAAUUCUAAAUUCUGAAACUUUUAAGCAGAAAGACAUUGCAACAGAUAAAUUGAAAAGGUUUAAGCCUAAAGCUUGGAUUUUACACCACCCCAGAUAGACAUAAAGCAAGACCAUAAAGUUGACAACUUUCAACAGCCAAAAACAAAUAAAAUCGGCCAUACCCAAGAGUGUAAAUCCUCAAGAAAACAGCAGAAUCAAGGCCAGCAUGUUCAAUAAUUUUCGACUCGCUCAUCUUCAUAGCUUGAGGCAUCCAGUUGAGAAAAGUAAGAUAAGUCUUGAAAUUGAGAUUAACAAACUUCCCCACAAAAUAGAUUCACUCAUCUUCAUAGCUUGAGGCAUCCAGUUGAGAAAGGUAAGAUAAGUCUUGAAAUUGAGAUUAACAAACUUCCCCACAAAAUUACCAACAUGCCUAGGAGCACUUCUCUUCCCAGUAAUGUACCACUUGGGAAAGUAAACCCUGUCAUUGAUAGGCUGAAUUCUAAGCAGAGCAAAAGCCAAUAAGAAUGCAAAAGCACCAAGUAUGUUUAUAAAUGCUGACACCCCAAUAUCACUAAGAGUUGCCAUUACUCCAAACAGAACGCGAGAAAUAACAGGACUCAAAAUGCAGAAUAAAGUUGGGUUUAAAAGGAAAAUUGGAACAUUAUCAGCAAGUAAAUAAACGAAAAGAAAAGAUUUUUUUUUCCCUUUUUUUCUGGAUAUUGGACUUUUGAGUUUUAUCUAGUGCCAAUGGCGGAUGGCCUACUACAUUUUCUCAGGUUUCAACUAUAGUAGUAGUAAUUUAUUUUUUCCCCUAUGAUUUGUAUCUUUGUGGGGUUCAAGAAAACUGUUCCACUUUUAAUAAUAUUGGGAUUGGAAUUGUGUGUUGGAGUAGUUUUCUUAUGUGGGCAACUCAAGAAAAUACCAAAAAGAGACCCCUUUUACGUUGUUUGCUGACUCAGUAGGAUUCUGGUUUCGUUCAUGCUCAAUG
rnacentral:lncRNA from 1 species